rnacentral:rRNA from 1 species
CCUACGGGUGGCAGCAGUGAGGAAUAUUCGUCAAUGGACGAGAGUCUGACCCAGCAAAGUAGCGUGAAGGAUGACUGCCCUAUGGGCUGUAAGCUUCUUUUAUAUGGGAAUAAAAUGUUCCAAGUGUGGGGUUUUGUAUGUACCAUAUUAUUAAGGAUCGGCUAACUCCGGGCCCGCAGCAGCGGUAAUACGGGGGAUCCGAGCGUUAGCCGGAUUUGUUGGGUUUUAAGGGAGCGUAGGUGGAUUUUUAAGUAAGUUGGGAAAGUUUGGGGCUCAACCGUAAAAUUGCAGUUGAAACUGGCAGGCUUGAGUACAGUAGAGGUGGGCGGAAUUCGUGGUGUAGCGGUGAAAUGCUUAGAUAUCGCGAAGAACUCCGAUUGCGAAGGCAGUUCACUGGACUGCAACUGACACUGAGGCUCGAAAGUGUGGGUAUCAAACAGGAUUAGAUACCCUUGUAGUC